UACGGGGGCAAGCGUUGUUCGGAAUUACUGGGCGUAAAGGGCUCGUAGGCGGCCAACUAAGUCAGACGUGAAAUCCCUCGGCUUAACCGGGGAACUGCAUCUGAUACUGGAUGGCUUGAGUUCGGGAGAGGGAUGCGGAAUUCCAGGUGUAGCGGUGAAAUGCGUAGAUAUCUGGAGGAACACCGGUGGCGAAGGCGGCAUCCUGGACCGACACUGACGCUGAGGAGCGAAAGCCAGGGGAGCAAAGCGGGG
rnacentral:rRNA from 1 species